UGGAUCAGCGUGGGCGCGCCUGCGCUUGUAGAUUUCUCCCUCGCGCAAGUGCGCUGCACCCAGCGAUGCAUUUUCUCUACGCGGUUUUCCUUCAGAGCCGCGUCUAGUCUUUGGGCUCGAAUGCUACCAAACGGUAUUGUCUCGACGAGAAAGCUGGCUCAUGGAAGGAAUUCAUUUCUAGACGCUCUGGCAUCAGAAUCAGCCGGGCAAGAUCAGACCCGAAUACCUGCGCUGUCUCUCUACCUACGCGGGAACGUCGGUGACUGAAAACUUGCCACCGCUCCAGAAGGAAGACUCCUGUUGGCGAUUCCCUCUCACUCCGGCUCUGACCGACCCUGGUGCCUCCUCUUGUGGCCCCUGUGUGACGUGACGUCCCCCCUCCUCUUGGGAAUGGUCUGCCCUGCGUGUCAUCCUGUCCGGAAGCUCCAACCGGAACGGCAUGGGAAGCGCUCCGUUGAAGCCCAGCCCAGGCGAGUCUCAGCCCCUGGCCUCUCGAUCCCUGUGUGAGGGAACAAGGACGAGCCAGGGACCCUUUUGGGGCCUCAGUGUCCUCACCUGCACACUGGAGGGAAUAGCACGUACCCCAUAGGGUGGGAUUACAUGACAGCCCGACAGCAUGUCUGAGACAUAGUGGGACAUCCAUGAACAUUGGUUCCCAUCCCAUCCUCACGCCGCUUGCAAUCAGUGUGCCCUUUGAGGACACGGUCAAUCGGUUUUUAAAAGCUAGGACGUACCUAGGUAAGUGCACCUUGAGGGCAUUAGUUCUAGUCUAAAGACAAUGAACGAGGGUGAUCUUCUUCCCUCUGCGUGAUGCCUCUCCAAAGUCUUCUGCCCCUAGGGCACAUCAGGAGGACGUAUUGGCAGCCUGGCAUAGCAGAAAGUUGACAAAAUGGAGAAAGGACUAUUGGGGAUAACAGAGUGCGCACGCUGCCUGUCAGGUUGGCUCCCGGGGGGCCAUGAGGUCAAUGGACGAUAGCUGAGUGUCCAGUCCCUGGGAGUAAAGAGCAUGGGGAGGGUAAGACCAUGGCUCCAGGAAUUUCUGUAGAUGACCCCCACUCCAUCCAGCCAAGCGGGCCUACCACCAGAUGCAACAGCCACAGCUUCUGGAAGCUAUUGGCACCCCUUUGAGAGGAAGUAAACCGAGGACGAAGCACCCGGUUUGGGUGGGAUGUCAGAACAUUUCCUGUCCUCGGAAGGAAAUCUGGAGGUACUCAGUACAGAGUGGAGCGUGUAGGGAAGUCAGAGGUGAUGGGGCCAGUGGGUGUCAGCACGAGCUGAAGCCAGCAAGAGAGAGACGUGGCAUCUGUGGCCAGUGCAUGAACUGCCCAGACCAGCUGCCGUGGGCGAUGGCUCAAGGGCUUUUUUUUAUCAACUUGCUUUUAAUAAAUUCAUUAAAUGUACAUUUUAUAUGGGAAACUACACGAAACAAAUCUGCAGUAAAACCUUGGAUGGCGAGUAACUUGCCCUACGAAUGUUCCGCAAGACGAGCAAACAUUUCUAAUGCAUUUUAACUUGAUAAACGAGUGAUGUCUGGCAAUACAAGCAAGAUGUGAUGCCGAAUGUCACAUGAUCACAACCGAGCCAAUGGGUCUUGAAAUUCGCUUUGAUGCACGAGUGCUUUGGACCGCAAGCCUGUGUCUGGAACGAAUUAUGCUCACAGACCAAGGUUUUACUGUAUGUAACAGUGAUGCGUCAAAAUGCAAAACCCUCAAAAACAUGCUCAAAAACUUCUCUUGGGUCCUUGUGUAACUACUCCCCCCUCGUUUCUCCGGGAAAGUAACCCAUAUCUUAACUAGGAUGUCGAGUAUCCUAAAAACCUUCUUGUUUUUCUUUAUAGUCUUACUACGUAAGCAGGCAUCCUCAAAUAUAAUG